rnacentral:rRNA from 1 species
AUACGGAGGAUGCGAGCGUUAUCCGGAUUUAUUGGGUUUAAAGGGUGCGUAGGCGGGAUUAUAAGUCAGCGGUGAAAUUUUCCGGCUCAACCGGGAUACUGCCGUUGAUACUGUAAGGCUAGGAUAUGGUUGCUGUGGGUGGAAUGUGUGGUGUAGCGGUGAAAUGCUUAGAGAUCACACAGAAUAUCGAUUGCGAAGGCAGCUCACAAAGCCAUUAUUGACGCUGAGGCACGAAAGUGUGGGGAUC